UGCGUAGGCGGCCUGGAAAGUUGGGUGUGAAAUCCCUCGGCUCAACCGAGGAAUUGCGCUCAAUACUGCCAGGCUAGAGGGAGACAGAGGUAAGCGGAACUUAGGGUGGAGCGGUGAAAUGCGUUGAUAUCCUAAGGAACACCAGUGGCGAAGGCGGCUUACUGGGUCUCUUCUGACGCUGAGGCACGAAAGCUGGGGGAGCGAACAGGAUUAGAUACCCUGGUAGUCC
rnacentral:rRNA from 1 species